rnacentral:rRNA from 1 species
UACGUAGGGGGCAAGCGUUGUCCGGAAUUAUUGGGCGUAAAGAGCUCGUAGGCGGUUUGUCGCGUCUGCCGUGAAAGUCCGGGGCUCAACUCCGGAUCUGCGGUGGGUACGGGCAGACUAGAGUGAUGUAGGGGAGACUGGAAUUCCUGGUGUAGCGGUGAAAUGCGCAGAUAUCAGGAGGAACACCGAUGGCGAAGGCAGGUCUCUGGGCAUUAACUGACGCUGAGGAGCGAAGGCAUGGGGAGCGAACAGG